GUUAAUGGCUGCAUAAUUCUAAUUGUACUAAGGUAGCACUAUAAUUUGCCCUUUAAAUGGGGGCUGGUAUGAAUGGGUUCACGUGAGAGUUGCUGUGUCACAAAAAUUUUUUGAAAUUAACUUUUAGGUGAAGAGGCCUAAUUUGGUUUAAAGGACGACAAGACCCUAGAAGCUUUACUGAAAAUAUUGUAUGCUUAUAUAUUAUUCCAGUUUUGUUGGGGCAACAUAGUUAGAAAAAAAUGACUGGUGAAUAUUAACUAACAAGUAAAAACCACUUUUGGUGAAUAAGAUAAGCUACUUUAGGGAUAACAGCGUUAUUUUUUUUAAUAGUUCGUAUUGUAAAAGAAGUUUGCGACCUCGAUGUUGAAUUAAGGUAUCCUUAGGGCGCAGAAGUUUUAGAGGGUUGGCCUGUUCGUCCAUUAAAACCUUACA
rnacentral:rRNA from 1 species